rnacentral:rRNA from 1 species
UACGGGGGGGGCAAGCGUUGUUCGGAAUUACUGGGCGUAAAGGGCGCGUAGGCGGCCUUCUAAGUCAGACGUGAAAUCCCUCAGAUUAACUGGGGAACUGCGUCUGAUACUGGAUGGCUUGGAUUCGGAAGAGGAAUGCGGAAUUCCAGGUGUAGCGGUGAAAUGCGUAGAUAUCUGGAGGAACACCGGUGGCGAAGGCGGCAUUCUGGACCGACAUUGACGCUGAGGAGCGAAAGCCAGGGGAGCAAACGGG